ACCGCGAUAGCUCUGUUGGUAGAGCGUCUGCCCGGUAAGCGGAGUGUCGCCGGUUCGAUUCCGGCUCGCGGAG
rnacentral:tRNA from 1 species